GCUUCAGGCAGCUUCAGGUACCGGUAGCGGUAGUAUUGCUCUGGCGGGCUGAAUUUAAAAGAAAGCUAAAUUGCGCAGUCCAAUAUCAAUAAACAAUCGGCCUUUAUAGCCUUUACAACUUACUUAUCAGCUAAAGUUUCAUGUCCAUUCUUAGAACGUUCGCGAAGAGGGCGGUAGAGAAAUCUGAAAUCUUUCUGUGUUCGAAAACUUGGUUUAGAUCAAACAACAACAUGAGUGGAGUAUUUUUUCCUAUUUCUGAAACCAAACAUCUUGCUCCAGGCUCAAAAUGUCCUGAAGUAACACCAGGUCUGAUGCGAUUGUAUAAUAUGAAAUUCUGCCCAUAUGCUCAGCGGACCAGACUAGUUUUAGCUGCCAAAAGAAUUCCAAAUGAGGUUGUAAAUAUAAACUUGGUUGCAAAGCCUGAUUGGUAUUUUGCUAGAAAUCCACUUGGCAAAGUUCCUUGCUUGGAAUUUGAUGGGAAAGUGAUAUUUGAAAGUUUAAUCACUUGCGACUAUCUUGAUGAAGUGUAUCCUAGUUCACCAAUGCUGAACAGUACUGAUCCUUUUCGCAAGGCACAAGACAGGAUUUUGAUUGAAAUGUUCAAUGCGGUCAAUAGUAACUUAUAUAAACUAUACCGCUGUAGUUUGGAUGAUGAGUCCACUUGGAAAGGAGCAAUUGUUGGUAUCCACAAGGGUUUACAGAUUUUCGAAGAUGACCUAGCAAAACGAGAAAUAAAAUUUUUUGGAGGUCAGAAUCCUGGGAUUGUAGAUUACAUGAUAUGGCCUUGGAUGGAGAGAUUGCCUUCAUUGCCUAUUUUGAGCCAUGGGAUGCUAAAAGUUCAAAUGGAAAAUUAUCCUUCUUUGAUAAAGUGGUUUGAUGCCAUGAAAGAAGACGAUGCGGUCAAAGAAAGUUUCAUUUCUCCUGAAAAUCACGCAAAAUUUAUUACAAGUUUUCUAGCUGGGAAUCCGGAAUAUGACAUGGAAAUCAAUAAAUAAAGAAGAUUAAACUGGAAGUAUUCAGACCACAAACAUUUUAAAUAAGCAUCUCUUCCCUACGGUUGUUUCAAAACGUAUCUUAAUUCUGGUUGUUUGCGUGGUCGCCUGCUUCAGGAUCAUGAUGGAAGAGACUAUCAGCUUUUUCUCGGAGAUGCGAAGCCUUUUCUUCUAUCAAAAACCCAGAGUGCUCCAGUAAUUGGAUCCAAGUCUUUGGAGGUACUCUAGUUAACAAACCAUGUUUGACUAACCAUUCCUCUAAAGUUUCAUUUAUUCCAACCGGAUCUUCUUUAUCUUCCGGUCUUGACAAAUCAGAUUGUGCUUCCUCUUUCGCACGUCUUACAGCUUGUUUCAAUGUUUUCAGAGCUUCAGUCAGUGCUGCAGCUUGUUCAGUGACAAGAGCUUCAGCUUGUUGUCGGGCAGUGGCUGCAGACUGUGCAACUUCAUUUUUCUCAUCGGUUAAUUUCAAUAGCAGUUCUUUUUUAUUGUGAGAUUGUUCCGCCAAAGUUUUGAAAUCUUCUUUGCACAAGUUUAAUUAUCGUUCUAAUUCCAGAAUCUUUUGGUCUACUUCCAUGACCGCGGAUUUUUCUUGAUUACAUUGAGCUUUCGAGAUGGAUAACUCGUUUUUUGCUCCAUCCAAAAGUCUGGACUUUUCGUCGGUUUCCGUUUUAGCGAGGUUAACCGCAUUCAUUAGUGCGGAUUUUUCGAGUUCGAGAAUAGCUUUUUGGUUGUCAAAUCGCGCUCUUAAUUUAGUCAACUCGAUUUGUGCUUCAUCUAAUAGUCUGCAUUUGCCUCUGGUUUCUAGUUUAGCAAAGUUAACAGCAUCAUCUAAAGCGGAUUUAUCUUGAUUGAGGAUGGAUUUUUCGCUGUCAAAGUGCGCUUUAAAAUUUUCAAUUUUGACGUUCGCUUCAUCUAAAAAGUCUGUGCUUUUCUUCUGUUUCAGCUUUAGCAAGGGUUACCGCAUUCAUUAGUGCGGAUAUUUUAAGUUUAAGGGUGGAUUUCUGAUUUUCGAAGUGCGCUUUCAAAUUCGUCAACUAUGUUUGCGCCUCAUCCAAAAGUAUACACUUUUCUUCAGUUUCAGAUUUAGCAACCUUAACCGCAUCCACCAAAAGGGAUUUGUCUUUAUCGAUGAUAGAUUUUUGUUGAUCAAAGUUCGCUUUCAGUUCCGUCAGCCUCGUGUUAGCCUGUUCUAAAAGUCGACAAUUCACGUCGUUUUCCGUUUUAGCGACCUUAACCGCAUCCAGCAAAGCGUAUUUUUCUUCAUUUAAUUUGGAUUUUUGUUGGUCGAAGUCCGCUUUCAAAUUCUUAACCUCUUAGUUCGCGUCAUCCUAAAGUAUGCGCUUUUCUUCGAUUUCCGUUUUAGCGACCUUAACCGCAUCUUCCAAAGUAGAUUUUUGUUGGUCAAAAUGAGCUUUUGAGCAGGUUAUUUCGAAAUUUGCAUCUCCUAGUCCACACUCUUCUCCAGUUUCAGGAAUGUUUACUUUUCCUUUGUCUUCUGCUCUGAGAUGUUUGCGAGCAGGACUAAGGAGUUCCAAAAGCCAAGCACUGCCAUAUAAAAAGAUUGUUCCGACAGUGAAAACAACGAAUGAAGUAAACAUUGGUUUCUGAAGUUUUUAGUUGAUUGUGCUCAACACUCAUGCCUUAUUGAAGUUUCACGUUGCCUCUUUAAAGGUUCUAGGCUCUAGGAUGUCAUCUUGAAGAGCAAGUAUUCAGUCUGAUUUUAGGAAUUAUGGAAACCAUUCAAUCUCAGGAAAAUUUGUAACAGUAUUUAUUUGUUUUAUCUUCUUGUUGUAAUUUUGCACUUUUUUUAGUUUGAGUGAUUUGAGUUCUCUUCUCACGUACUGACGAAUAAACGAAGAAAAUUUCCGC
rnacentral:misc_RNA from 1 species